rnacentral:rRNA from 1 species
UACGUAGGGAGCAAGCGUUGUCCGGAAUCAUUGGGCGUAAAGCGCGCGUAGGUGGCUUCGUAAGUCCGUUGUGAAAGUCAAAGGCUCAACCUUUGAAAGCCGAUGGAUACUGCGGAGCUAGAGUACGGAAGAGGCGAGUGGAAUUCCGGGUGUAGUGGUGGAAUGCGUAGAGAUCCGGAGGAACACCAGCGGCGAAGGCGGCAUCCUGGACUGGUCCUGACACUCAGGAGCGAAAGCGUGGGGAGCGAUCCGG